rnacentral:misc_RNA from 1 species
CUCUCCAGCAAGAAUAAACAGCUGACCGGAAAACCACGCUACUCUGAUCACAUUUCAUCCAUCACGCCUUUCAAUUCCAGCUCUCUCUCUUUCUCAACAUGAUAAGGGGCGGUAAAAACUACGUUUCUUCGCCACCAGCCUUCUCCAACGACGCCAAACGACUCCUCGUUUGCUCUGGCAACGCCGUCUCCAUCUUCAGCACCGC